rnacentral:rRNA from 1 species
UACAGAGGUCUCAAGCGUUGUUCGGAUUCAUUGGGCGUAAAGGGUGCGUAGGCGGCGCGGUAAGUCGGGUGUGAAAUCUCGGGGCUUAACUCCGAAACUGCAUUCGAUACUGCCGUGCUUGAGGACUGGAGAGGAGACUGGAAUUUACGGUGUAGCGGUGAAAUGCGUAGAUAUCGUAAGGAACACCAGUGGCGAAAGCGGCUUCCUGGUCCAGCACCGACGUUCAGGCACGAAAGCGUGGGGAGCAAACAGG